UACGUAGGGGGCUAGCGUUGUCCGGAUUUAUUGGGCGUAAAGAGCGUGUAGGCGGCCAGAUAGGUCUGCUGUGAAAACUCGAGGCUCAACCUCGAGAUGUCGGCGGAAACCACUUGGCUAGAGUCCGGAAGAGGAAAGUGGAAUUCCUGGUGUAGCGGUGAAAUGCGCAGAUAUCAGGAAGAACACCCGUGGCGAAGGCGGCUUUCUGGGACGGUACUGACGCUGAGAAGCGAAAGCAUGGGGAGCGAACAGG
rnacentral:rRNA from 1 species